UUUUACUUUCUUGAGAUUGUACAAAUUUCGGCAUUUCAGUGUGAACACUCUUUAAGUGUUUCUAGGAGAGGGUCGUGGCUUCGUGUCAAUAAUUCCGGCAAAACACUUGCAAUAAAGAACCUUUCAGCCUUAGGUAGGGCUUUUCGUAGCAUUUCUUCAUCUCUGAUUAUGCGACGCACAAUGACCUCAGCACUUGUCCAAACCACAAAGUCACAGUAUUGGACAUUGCAAACAAACAUGUGAAGUUGAACUUGGUGGUAAUAUUCAUGAUUCUUCUUUAGGUGCAGUGAUUUGUCCAAGCAGAACUGUGUGUCAUCACUGCACCCUGUAAGGCCAUCACGGUAUUUGUAUGGGCACUUAACUUCAAGGGUUCCUCUCCCACAACAGGAACAGUUCACUAAUCCAUCUGGAGACGCCCCGAGAUGUGGUUGAUCGUUCCGCACGACAAGACCAGAGAGCUUCACACUGAAGUUGGCAUGGAUUUUGCUCAUUUCUUCCGUGUAGUACUUUCUGGCUGUGUCCUCCAUGUCUCUUCCCCAAAGUACAGCUGGGACAUGAUGCAACUCACUGUCAUUGUAAUGCAUUGUCUUUUUCACCAAGUUGAUUUUGUCUGUGUUUCUGCCUGCCGUGCACACACGAUGGAAGGCGGUGCUUGUUAUCCGUCCAAUUCGGUUGGUGUGCCAGGCCUGGCAUUUGGACUGCUCCUUGGAGGUGGUGAGAGGUCCCUUAGAUUGGCAUCAUACAGAGCUGUGAGUGGCUCUGGCAGGUCUUCUGUGUUGGUGUUUGAAUCUCCUGAUGCAGUAUCUACAUCACUGUGGUCCUUCACGAUCCUGGUCUCUCGCGGUGACGGACGGAGUUAAGUUCCAGGAAUCGGAGGCCCUUCCCAGCUGAAGAACCCUAGAUGAAUUGCGCUAGUCCUUGGAGAGCUCGCUUCCAGAUAAUUAGGGUGCAGCAUCCUACUCCCUUCCCUCUGUGUGGGUGUCUUUGGUCCUAGCCCGCUUCCCCGCAUUUCCUCUUUGCCUGGGUUGCGCCCGACUGGCUUCAUCCCCGUUAGCCACGGCCACAUGACGCACCUAUGGGCGGAUGUGUCGGCUGCUACCGAAAGGGACUGGGGUCUCAGUUCUGGUGAAGUUCUGGUGAACUGAGACCUCCCGAAAUGGUCUCCUAUUUGUAAGCGGCUUGAGUAUUGCCCAGUCAACCGCUCUGCGCGCAGGCGGGAGUUGAAUGUCUCCCCAGCCCUCCCAGCGCUUUGGCGGCGGUGGAGCACCCGGAGGCCCCCCUAACCUCAAACUUUUGUCUGUGAACGAUGGCCUCUCGCUCUGACAAAGGCGGGCGGGGGGGUAAGGAGGGCAACCUCCCCAACUCCGCCUAGCCACUAGCCUCUGGUUGAGGUAGAGCGACCUGUCUCUGGCAUGUUAGUGCAGGGAGGUAAGGGAGGUAGCCUUCUCAUAAGGCUCUUUCAACCCCUCCUUGUAGUCCAACUGCUUCAGGUGUCGACAACAAUGCAAUGCAAACAAGAGCCACCUCGGUACCGGUCCAUUGCAAAGAGGGUUCUGCUGAUGGUGAUGGCUACCGAUCGCUAACGCGAGGGGUGUAGUCGGCCCUGGAAUAUGUGAAAUAUGGGGCUUUUGGCCAAGCAUGAAAAUGCGGUGGCAGUUGCACCAGACUUGAUGAUUUGCAGCAGAGCUCUUGCACACGAAGCUUGCAGAGAACGAUGGCCUGAACACUGCCCCGGCUCCGGCCGGGAGAGGGAUAUCCAAGUUAUUGGGAACGUGUUCUGCCGAAAUCAGUCCAAUCACAGAAGGCUGUGAUGAAACAAAAAGCUUGCGUUCCCUGCAUGCUUGGAUAGCUCUAAACCGCGAAGGUUUAAAUCGAACGAUCGCCCGCCGAGAGUGAACAUUAAAUGGGGAUGGCCAGUGUCCAGCGGUUAGGUACUACCAGGCCUCAGGUCCGCCUGAGUAUGGGACUCUACACGUGACGGUGGUAGCUCUCUUCCACGCUCCUUGGAGCACGAAAUGGAAUGGCAUGCGACUAACAAACAGCGGGCACUACCAGGCCUCAGGCUUGCCUGAGUGCGAGACUUCACACAUUGUAGGUGGGUUUGUCUCCCCUACGUUCGGAGACUCGAGAUGGAGAUAACCCAUAGGCCCCGUGGCGGAUCCCUAUAGACAGCCUGGGUUUCCACUGGGCACGAUCACAUGAAGCAAUUCAAGGGAACGGGCCUACCGGAGCAUUCGCACUCAAAUCACCCUUGGGGUGACUGUGGCCCCCUCACGCGAGUGAGGAAUAUCGAUAACGCAAAGGUUUAAAAAGUGGUACCCAGGGUGCAGUCUGAAGGGCUGACUGGGCAAGCAUAUGAUUGAAAGUGGAAGAACCUUUUUCUGCUGCUUCAGCCGAUACCCGGCUGAGGGUGGCACUAGACGUACAGACAGGUAAGGGGUUUAAGUCUCCUGAAGUACUGUGCAGGCACUUGAUGUCGUUCGGGUGUAAAAGCCCAUUGUAAAGUCCCUGGGGAGGUUAGUCCCGGGGUUACUGAUGCGCAGUAUGUAAUCUGUAGAAUAGAGUCGUGAGACACCGCUCGCGUGACUUGACUGGGUGUCCACGUGAGGAUAGCUGACUGCAGCGUGCACUCACCCCUUUGUUGCGCCGACUUGUCGGCUGUGGUCCUGAUGCGGAGGCGAAGGAAUCCAAUUCCUGAUGCCAAAGCGAAGGAACUCAAUGAAGGGCAGGUAAAGGGUGGGAUUCACUACGACUCGAUUAAGGUAGCCAAAUGCCUCGUCAGGCCCCCCUAACCUUAAGAACAAACAGGAGUCCAAAUCUUUUCAUAAUUUACCAAAGGAUGAAAAACAGGCUUUGCUUGAUUUACAAUCCGAUACGUCAGUCCUUACUGGUUGUACUCAUCGAUAGGACAGCUUAUGUAAAUGAGUGUCAUAGACAACUACUUGACAACAGCUUUUACAAGAAACUCAGAAGUGACCCCACUUCCCAAUUUCAGAAUACCAUCUUAAAUACCCUAGAUGGGUAUUUAAGUUCUGGUCAGAUAACCAAAAAAUAACAACUUUUUGGCUAUUCAACACCCUAAAAAUGCCACUUUCUAUCCUUUGCCGAAAUGACACAAGAAUGUUACAAAACCUCAGGGGUGCCCUAUUGUAGCGGGCAUUGAUGCUGUAACAGCCCCUCUAUCUACUUUUUUGUUGACUUUUUUAUUAGACCACUCGCAGAACAGCUCCCCUCCUUUGUAAAGGACACCAGCAGUAUGAUCUCUAUCAUUGAAUCUCUUGAUCCUCUCCCUGAGAAUACCUUGUUAGUUACUUUUGAUGUUGAGUUGUUAUACACAAAUAUUCCACACGAGGGCGGUAUUGAAGCUAUGGAACAUUUUCUUCUGCAACGUGACCCUAAUGAACUACCUUCCAUUGCCUGCAUUAUGACAUUGGCUGAAAUAGUACUCGCACAUAACUACUUCAUGUUUCUAAAUGAUUUCUUUAUUCAGAUGAAGGGUACUGCUAUGGGAUCCCCCAUGGCUCCUAAAUAUGCUAAUUUGUAUGUGGGUUACAUGGAGAAAGUCUAUUUUCAA